rnacentral:lncRNA from 1 species
GGAAACCUCUGGAGCGCCUUGAUGCGGCGUACAGUUUACCUACAGGCAGGGCUUUGUCUCUGCCAGCCUCUUCCCUGUGAGCGGAUGAGAGCUGCAUGACUACCGUAACACACAUCCAGCCCUCGUACAGCAGCAGGAGACGGAGCUCACAGCGGGAUUCCCCAAAUCCCUGGCCUUCCUUGCUCGACCAUGUCCACAAAUGAAAGGGAAGAGGACCACACAGGAACCAACGACGACGCCGUGUCACUGUUCAAAACAGACACCCCUGUAAACACAACACAUGCUUCACAUGGGCUGAUCGUUGCAGUUUCACGCUUAUCAAAAAUAAGCAUCGGGCUGGAUGCACCUCUCGCCGCUACCUUCGCAGAAUCUCAAGUAUCUUAUGCAAACUGUGUGCGUUUGUUGGGGAGCUCUGGCAGCGACUGAUGAGUGUCUCAUUAUCUCCACACCAGCCGUACACAGUAAGAAGAGCAUAAUCAAAGCCUGGGGGAUAUUUCAAUUUGAUGCUCAACAAGCUGAGCCUGAGAUUAAAGGAUCAUACGUGUCAUCCACACAAACAUCACUUCCAGAGCAGGCGAGCGUACGUGAGCUCAGCUUUUCCAAGAGAGAGGCGUCACCGCCGCAGACGACGCAGUCGCACUUCUGUCUCCCUGUGUGUGUGUGUGUGUGCAACUGAAGGCUGAUGCGAUGCUUCUCACAUGUUUGAGAUGUCGAGGAAGGAGUCUUUCCUUUUUUUACAUGUGUGUGUGUGUGUGUGUGUGUGUGUGUACGUGUGACGAAUUUUGCUUUUAAGAAAUAUUUAUGAGCCGGUACCCUUCUUAAAAAAAAAAAAAAAGGAAAAAAAGAAAGCGUUGUCUUUAAUGAACAUGUUUUAGAGAUUGUUUCAGCAUCUAU